rnacentral:lncRNA from 1 species
GCGUCUUUCCUUGCCCAGCUUCAAAGUAGAAAAUGAGCAUAGCCACCAUAGCAAGCCUUGCAUGCUUAAUCUCAGCCAGUUUCAGUCUCUCCAACUUUUCGCUGUCUGGAACGUAAACCCCGUCCUGGAUGGAGCCGGCGAAGCCCAAGGGGUCGAAGAACUUGCCACCCGGGUAGCCUUGCUCUCCGGUGGAGUUGGCGAAGUUCUCCGAGGUCUUGGACCAAGGUGUGGCCCACUCGACGGACUGGGACUCAGGGUUGUAGAAGUCCACCCAUCUCUUGCUUUCCACCCAUCCCAUGAGCAAGAGCUGAGUGCCGAGCAGUGAGCCGAAGGAGAAGGGUGAGAUAGCACUGGGGUCAGCUCCGGCUUCGAACCAUGGGAUACCACUCCAGGCCUGGCCAACAAAGAUACCAACGACUGCCGCCAUUGCCCACCGGCCGUGGAUGAGCUCCGCCUCUCUGUACCACUUGAGGAACGCCGGGUCCUUGCCUAGUCCUAGUGGAUCAAAACCGUAGUCACCUGGAAGCCUGCACGCGUAUAUCAGAUCAGAUUCAUACAUAUAUCUGUGACAAACUUAGAAUUAUAAUGUGGUUGAUAAUAUAUGAAACUCACGAGCCAUCGAGCCACUCGGGGUCGAUGAAGUUGCCGCCGCCUUUAACCGCCGGGAUCCAAGACUUCUUUGCCGCAGCAGCAACCACAAUGAACCUCUUAGGAGUAGGAGAAGCACCGCCAACCUUGCUUCCAACGGUGGCAGCAGAGAGCAAGGCCUGACUUCUCUUGCCUCCACAUAAGAAGGCCGCCGAGUUCAACCCGUUGAGCACUGCACCGGUGGUUGCCGCCAUCUCUCUCUCUCUCACUAAGCAAAAACAGAGACUCAGAGAGUUUUUCUGGUGGCAAUGAAUGUUUGAGAGUUGCUUGGGAAGUGGUGUUUUAUCACCAUGAGUUUUAGAGAGAGAGAGAGAGAGAGAGAGAGAGAGAGAGAAUGAGAGAGUG